rnacentral:tRNA from 1 species
GUUACUAUGGUGAAAUGGUAGACAUACAGACUUGAGGGGUCUGUGGAAUCAAAAUUCCAUCUCGGUUCAAAUCCGAGUAGUAACA